AUCUCCCACCCACCCCUCGUAUCUCUGUAUAGCAACUAAGCUCUCUGCACUACCUAUCUUGUAAAAAUCAUUUUAUAUUAUGACAGUGUCACAGUUUAAGAUCAAAUGAACACAUGGAGAUUAAAUGGAUUUGAACAUUAAAACACUUUAAUCACAGCUCUUAUGACACAAUAUGGACUACUAAGGCCAGUUUUGGACUUUCCAUUACAAUAAGGAUUUUGACAUACUGAAGGGAGCCCAGCAAAGUCCCACCAAGGUGAUCAGGGAGCUGAAGCACAGGAAAGGCUAAAGGACCUGGGACUGGUCAGCUGGGAGAAGGCUACAGGGAGACCUUAUAGCAGUCUGCAACUACCUGAUCAGAAAAGAAAGAACUGAAUUCUUCUUGGAGGUGCACAGUAACAGGAAAAGAGGCAACAAAUAUAAGUUGGAACUUUGGAAGUUCUGAUUAGAGAGAUAUAUAUAUCUACCAUGAGGGUGACCAAAUAUUAGAAAAAGUUGCUCAGAGUGGCUGUGGAAUCUCUAGUCCUGGAGGUAUUCAAGACAAGAUUGGAUGGGGCCUUGAGCAAUCUGACCUAAUUACACCUGCUCUUAGCAAGGGUUUGCACUAGAUGAUCUGUGGAGGUCCGUUUCAACCUAAAUUAUUCUGUAGUUAAGCAAUGUAAACACUAGUGAAUAUAUGUAUGUGUAUAUAUAUUUAUAAAAUAUAAAUCAAAUUUACACAGAGAUGUACAUAUGAAUCUCCACAUAAAUCUCACAUUCAUAGAUGUUGGAAACACAGUUACCUGAAUAACUUCCACUUAGUUAUUUUAUGUAUAGGAAUUGUGAUACAGACUUUUCAUUUACAUACUCUUAUUGUUUUUCAAUAAUAAGUAAGUGUGUGUGAGACUCUCUUGUUCAUUUAUUCCUCCUCUGCAUUACAACAGCAUGCAUGGAAAACUCAAGACUAUUGUCAAAGUCUGCACCUGGUCCAAAUAUUCUUCAGUCUACUAAUGGUCUUUAAAUGCUUAAUGCAAAAUUUUCUAUCCUUCCCUUCCUACAUGGUUUGGUCAUAGGUGGAGACAUGGAGUUAAACUGAAAGAGAAAUCAUUCCUGUAAAGGGUUGUGCCUCCUUUCUCAACUUGGGAACAGGCCAGUCUUUAAUAGCAUCCAUCUGUCUGAGCUCUGACUUAAUGUAGGUGCCUACCAAUUUAUUGCACAGAUAAACUGUUUCUGCAAUAUUCACUUUACACUUCACCACCUUUACACACA